UUGACCUCAAAUCAGGUAAGGAGUACC
rnacentral:rRNA from 1 species